rnacentral:rRNA from 1 species
GACGAACGCUGGCGGCGUGCCUAAUACAUGCAAGUCGAACGCAGUGGGGACGGGUGAGUAACACGUGGGUAACCUCCCCAGCAGAGGGGCUAACACUUGGAAACUGGUGCUAAAACGAUAUUGAUGGAUGGACCCGCGGUGCAUUAGGUAGUUCGUGGGGUAACGGCUCACCAAGGCCACGAUGCAUAGGCGACCGGGAAGGGUGAUCGGCCACACAUGGGCUGACGCAGGGCCCAGACUCCUACGGGAGGCAGCAGUAAGGGAUGUUCGGCAAUGGACGGAAGAAUGACCGAGCAAAGCCAGGUGAGUGAAGGAGGUUUUCGGAUCGGAAAACCCUGUUGUUAGAGGAGCGGUAUCUAACCAGAAAGCCACGGCUAACUACGUGCCAGCAGCCGCGGUAAUUC